AUCUGUGUUUGGCUCUCAUGCUCUCGUGCGCUCUCAAUUGUGUUGUUAGUUUUAGUCUGAUGCUGCCUUUAGAAAAAACACUUACUCGUGUCCAGUCGGUCUUUCUGAGGCACUUAUUCGUGGUUUACGUACGUUGGUGUAGCACUUUUGGAGAAAGAUGUGCUGACGAUUGCUUUGUCCGAUUUUGCGUAUGGUGUCACGUUCGUUGUCGCCGUGAGUUGGCUUUUCAUUUCUCCUCUGAGGCCUUCGUAAGUGUGCUCCUUGCUGUUCCGCUUGCCACUUUGCUGGUCGCCUUUGGUCAUGUUGUUACUUGUCUUAGAAUCCACAAAUAGUGUGUUUCGUUUAAGGUCGAGUUUGUCGUGAGGUUUGCUGCAGCUUGACUAAUGGUAGUAUGAGGUGCACGUUGUGUAUCGCAGUUUGGUUAUGUCAUGUUGUAGUGGAUGCAUUUGCGCGUGCAUUUUUGCACACCAGUGCUUCUAGUUUCGCACCAUCAUAAAAGCAUAUUUCUGCUUUGCGAAAACUCGCCAGAAGUUGAAUUGUAACCAAAGGAAAGAAAUCAAAAUCCAAGAGAAAUACUUCUCCAGCUGUAUUUCUUCAAACUCCUAAUCCAGAGACUGGUACGUGCUGCAUUUAGUUCGAUAUGCAGGAAUGCUUUAAUGCUAUUAUUCCCAAUGAUCCCAGACGUUUUUGACAUCCUUCAAAGCCUUCCAACAAGUAACUGUUCAUUAAAUUGUCUUAAACAGUUCUGAAGCGGUACCGUUUUUAAAAAGUGAGUAAUUCAAAAAUUGGAUUGAAUAUUAAUUUAUCCUGAAGUGGAACAUUAUGAAUGCAAAACUAUUUUCAACAGCUCCAAAUUGUUCAUGUAGAAUAAUCAAUUACUGAAUUUGAUGACACUACUCAAUUUCAUCAUCACAAUUUCAGAUUAUAUCAAAACAAUUUGAAGUUGAUUUGUGCCCGCAAUUGCACAGAAAAGAAAAAGAAAAAGAAAACAAUCAAUGAUAGCACAUAAAAAGAAG
rnacentral:lncRNA from 1 species